GUUAGUUGCAGCCCUAAAUGUUAUUUGUAGCGUCACAUCAUAACAACGUUUAUCUCACGACACUUGGAUAAAGAGAGAGAGAUGGAUUGAAUAUAAAGUGAUCAGAUACAUGUAGUAAGUUUAAAGUAGCAGAAAAUGAGGAUUGUGCGACGGUAGGCUACAGUAACGCUACAUGAGUAAAUAGUUACUCUACUAUGUUUACAUGUUUCUGACGCAGCCGCAGUGAUCUUCUAAAUCUAAAUCUAAAUAUUAACGUUAGCUAACCGCUAAAAACACUCCCGACAACAAGCAGGAAACUCACGCUGUCGACAUUCAGGAUCCAUUUCCCCGGUUCGGACACUGCGCCGCCCGGCCCGACCAGCACCGUCAGCACCAGCGCCAAGUACCAGAGUCCUGGCCCGGUCCGACCCGGCCCGGUUCGGCCCAGAGCCUCGGAACGCGCCAUUUGUGAGCGACGAAGAGGAACAAGACAGCAGAAGCAGCCAGCAAAAGAAGAACUCACAACAAGCUGAAUACUUCCGGGUUCCGGCUGACGUUGGCAGGGAAGGAAUGGUGCUUUCAGGGACCGUGGAAAGCUAUGCCUGAUAUUAUCCCACACCUGAACUGCUCUGAUUUGGCUGUUUGAGAGCGGAGCCAUCCAUCUGGCUGUGAGAUCCUACUCUGAGCCCUGCGCUCCUCCUGCCUCUUCACCAUCUUCACCCAGCAAGUCGUCAGCACCACAGAGGUAAUUGGAUUUUUGGAGCGCUGCUUGGGCCGGGACAAGAGGAAUUUGUGGCUGAGAUGACAGAAUUUACAGAAGAAGCGUGUCACAGCAGACUGCUGGAAAAGGGCCGGAAAUGUGCAUAUCUACCGAGUGUCCAGUUUCCAUGACCGGCGAAAAAAAAAAUUAGCUUUCAUGAGAGUGAAAAACAGCAUUUUCUCCAGUGUCUGCAUGUCUUUUUUUUUUUUUUUUUUUAUUAUUAAAAAAGCCUACCAGGAAAGCGAGAGAUGAGCCACUGGAAGGCUUUUAAUUUGAAAUGUCUGUGAGUUUGAUACAUAAAAGUUUAUAGUGUGUGUAGUGUAUGUGUGUAGUACCUUCGAGUAGAAAAACAGGGCAGCACCGGUCCCGAGCACCAGCAGCACCAGGACAACCAGUCCAAUGACCAGAUGUA